rfam:Acremonium persicinum 5S ribosomal RNA (2)
ACAUACGACCAUAGACGCUAGAAAAUACGGGAUCCCGUCCGCUCUCCCAUAGUCAAGCUGGCGAUCGGCGGAUUAGUAGUUGGGUCGGUGACGACCAGCGAAUACCUGCUGUUGUAUGU